rnacentral:tRNA from 1 species
UGGCUCAGUGGGUAGAGCAUGCAGCUUUUAAUUUCAAGGUUGUGAGUUCAAACCCCAC